rnacentral:rRNA from 1 species
CCUACGGGAGUCUGCAGUGAGGAAUCUUGGUCAAUGGACGGAAGUCUGAACCAGCCAUGCCGCGUGCAGGAAGACGGCUCUAUGAGUUGUAAACUUCUUUUGUACAAGGGUAAACCUGAAUACGUGUAUUCAGCUGACAGUAAUGUACAAAUAAGGAUCGGCUAACUCCUGGCCAGCCGCCGCGGUAAUACGGAGGAUCCAAGCGUUAUCCGGAUUUAUUGGGUUUAAAGGGUGCGUAGGCGGAUUGAUAAGUUAGAGGUGAAAUGUCCGAGCUUAACUCGGGAACUGCCUCUGAUACUGUUGGUCUAGAGAGUAGAUGCGGUAGGCGGAAUGUAUGGUGUAGCGGUGAAAUGCUUAGAGAUCAUACAGAACACCGAUUGCGAAGGCAGCUUACCAAUCUACAACUGACGUUGAGGCACGAAAGCGUGGGGAGCAAACAGGAUUAGAUACCCGAGUAGUC